UGAUGGAGCUGCGGCAUCCCUUCGGCUGGGGCCCCGGGAGGGGGAAGGGAAAAGACCGAGCAGUGGAGGGAAGAGGGAGCCAUUUCUCUCCACUGGCUGCGACCUCCGUGCUCACAGCUCACAUUUGCCCGGAAUCCCGAGGCCUCCUCGGCCGAGGACUCCAUCAUGCUGGAUAUUUUCAUCCUGAUGUUCUUUGCCAUCAUAGGCCUGGUCAUUCUGUCCUACAUUAUCUAUCUGCUCUAGCUGCGGCGGGGAACCCUCAGAACAGCUUCGGGGGGGAAGGAUGGAGCUGACCGGCCGAGCAUCCUGCUUUGCUGACGCACCGGUGGAUUUUUGCUUCUGGUCAUUUCGGCUCCUGGUCUCCACUGCAACCAGAGACCUCUUAGCAGCAGUCCUGCUGCCCAGCAGACCUCUUCCAGAACCUUCCGGAUAUGGCUAACCACUGUGGAGCAAGGGGCUUUUUGAGCCCAGAGGCAGAGGGGCACUCAGCCGGGACGUCAGGAAUUCGUGGGCAAGGCUGGCAGAUGCUGUGUGCGUUUGAGCUGUGGAUAGAAGGUGUUGAGGACACAGAGCUGAAAUGCAGACUCAUGAAAGUCACCACGGAGAACUGCGCACAUAUCCAUUUUGAUAGCCUCUCUCUAGGUGUAAAUGCAACUGCGUAUUAUGCUAAAGUAUGUUCUUCCCUUUCCCUCUCACACACUGGGGGGAUAGUUCAAGAGCACAUUGUCUACCCUCAUCUCUGAAGUAUUCAGUUUAUCACUGUCUUUGCAGACAGCCUGAGGUGGUGUAGUAUCCCUUGUCUCACUCUUUAGCCAGAAGGAACUCGUCAUUUGAAUUUUUACGAUUUAUCAUAUUUUUUCCACUCCUCACCACGUGAGCCCCAGCUUCUCAUUUAAAGAGAGAAAUGGUUAUAUAGUCAUUAUUCUUUGAGACUGUCUGAAUUAUAAAUUAUUGAAAUAGGGUAGCUAUAACUCAUCUUACUUGUUAUGUGGGAAAAAUCUCUCUCUUGCCCCAAAAUAAAUGUUUUUUUUUUUUUUUAUAUUGUCAAAUGUUCCUUUUCUGGAAAAAAGACUUUCAACAUAUUUCUUUGUCCAGUUAGGGUUGAAGAAACUAUAUAUUUUGGAACCCAGAGUAGACUUGGGCCCCAAAUCUGCGGUACCCAUUCCUCUGAAAAGUCCAUCAUGAUGGUUCUACACUGGAUUUUCCUUUCUAGCUUAAAAAUAAACAAGGAGACAGAUUAA